rnacentral:misc_RNA from 1 species
CAGAGUUCAUGCCCUAACGGGUAGACCUCCCACCCUUGUGUAUUUAUACAAUGUUGCUUUGGCGAGCCGCGCAGCUUCGGCUGUGCCUUGGGCCCUCGGGCCUAGGUGUGCUCGCCAGAGAAAAACCAAACUCUGAUUAUUUUUGUCGUCUGAGUACUAUAUCAAUAGUUA